GACGAACCUGACGAACGUUAUUCGGAAUUACUGGGCUUAAAGGGUUUGUAGGCGGCCUUGUAAGUCAGGUGUGAAAUCCCUCGGCUCAACCGAGGAAUGGCGCUUGAUACUGCAAGGCUUGAGGGAGACAGGGGUAAGCGGAACUGAUGGUGGAGCGGUGAAAUGCGUUGAUAUCAUCAGGAACACCGGUGGCGAAAGCGGCUUACUGGGUCUCUUCUGACGCUGAGGAACGAAAGCUAGGGUAGCGAACGGG
rnacentral:rRNA from 1 species